rnacentral:tRNA from 1 species
GGUUGUGGCUUAGUGGUAGAGCACUGACCUAGCAUGUGUGAGGUACUAGGUUCAAUCCUCAGCACCA